UAACGUAGACGAAAGUUACGCUAAUACCGCAUAUUCUGUGAGCAGGAAAGAGGGGAUCGCAAGACCUCUUGCUUUAGGAGCGGCCGAUGUCGGAUUAGCUAGUUGGUGAGGUAAAGGCUCACCAAGGCGACGAUCCGUAGCGGGUCUGAGAGGAUGAUCCGCCACACUGGGACUGAGACACGGCCCAGACUCCUACGGGAGGCAGCAGUGGGGAAUUUUGGACAAUGGGCGCAAGCCUGAUCCAGCCAUGCCGCGUGAGUGAAGAAGGCCUUCGGGUUGUAAAGCUCUUUCGGUGGGGAAGAAAUGGCACGGGUUAAUACCCUGUGUUGAUGACGGUACCCGCAUAAGAAGCACCGGCUAACUACGUG
rnacentral:rRNA from 1 species